rnacentral:lncRNA from 1 species
AUUUAUUAAAAAGCUGCUUUUGUGGUAAUAUUAUGUUGGUUUGAAAGGAGGAAAUAGCAAGGUUAAGAUGCGUGAAUAAUUUCUGUAUAUAUGUAUAAGCUAAUACAAACACUGAUGUAUGACAGUAUAAAAUGCUUUCAUGUUUGUGAUGUCCAGUGAUGUGGAGAAUAUAAGCCUUAAACCCGUUCGAUUGCAUGGUAAUUAAAAUUGGCAUAAUAAAAAUAGCUUAUUGGGGGAAAGGAAAAUUAAUGAUCUCUUCUACCUGUGUUCUUUACCAAAUUCUUGCAUCUGGUUCUAGAAAAGAAAAAAGAAUCAAACUCCAUAUAUUAGCUUCCAAAAUAUCCAUAUUGCACAGAAGGCUUACAUUGCUUAGACUACAGACUAGGCCUGAAGCCUUCAUAAUUUUCAAAAAUCUUUCUGUUUCACUAUAAACAUCCUGAAAUAGCAAAGGUUUAAAGGCCAUUUCCAUCAACAAUGUUUUAUUCUAAAUGUUUUUAUUUCUACUUGCUAAUGGUUUAAUAAUAGUUGUAUUUGGAGAUCUCUUACAUGACCUAAUUUAUUUUAAAUAUUUGAAUGGUUUUGGUGGAUGGUAUAGAAAAUUUGAUUAUUAUUUUAUUUAAACUAUAGAUUUCAGGUAUAUUUAUUUUGUUAAGAAAAAUCAACAGAGGAAUAUUCCAUUUGGUCUUUUUUUUUUUUUGACUUGAAGAAUUCAGCUUUUAAUUUAUAUCAUAACUCCUACUAAAGUGCCUGACACACAGUAGGUAUUUCAUAGAGUUUCCUGAAUUUGAGUAUUGAGUGGGGUUUUACAUAUAUAUAUUUAUAUAUGUUUCCUGCAUUAAAACUAGAAAAAGACGUGCAAAGUGAAGCACAUCUAUAAUCACACAUUUAUAAUCAGAUUUCCAAAAGCCAAUAGAACAUGACAGACAUAUGUAGCCACCGAAAUGACAAUCAUUCAUUCAAUAGAUUACUCAUUAGCAUCUUUUGCCUGCAAGUCACUAUUCUAUAUUCAGGGAGAGCAGCUAUGAACGAUGCACUGCCUUUGGAGGUUUAUCUAUGUUUGAGACAGAGUGACUGACCACACAGACGUGUGUGCCAUAACGUCCCACAGAUGAGGAAGAAAGCAAGUGUAGAGAAAGAGUCACAACGAGAGAGACAGCGGUGAGAGGCUGGGGCAAAGAGAAAGGCUAUGGGAGAAGAGGGGUUAGCAGGGCUUCACUACAUGUGUGAAAAGAGAGAAAGCCAAAUAGAGAGACCUGCAAGAUGUUUACAGAGCUGACAUGGAGCGUUUGUGUGCUGUGUAGUAGGUAUAGGAGACCCAGUAGCUUGUGCGGGGCUUUAUUUUAUCCCACAAUUGGAACUUUACUGGCGUCCUCCCAGGAACACUUAAAUAAUUUUGCGUGGAUUUUGCCCCUUCUAAUCUUUGCUGCACAUAUUUUUAAAUGGAUGGCUCAUUCUAGGCUUUUGGGUAUGUAGUGACUUCUUCCAACGGAGUCUUAGAGAGACAUCUAGUUAUAGUGUUUAUGAGGAUCACAAAGGGGAGAUGUUAGACAUAACUAUGUUGUAGGGGGAAAGAAAGGGGAAAUUAGCUAGAUUUAAGGCAAUGACAGAGUGCACAGGGAUCGUAGCCUGAAAUACAGAGAAAGACAGAUCUUAGAGCCCUGAAAAGUAUUUGAACAUUUUUGGACCUCUGUUAGGAUAUGGCAUUAUUUUAUAUACUGAGACAACCUGAAUUUCUCUUAGUAAGUAAUGUCAAGUCUAAGUCUAUUGAAAAGACAUUCAAAAAAUUAAUGGACCAUGCUGGACUAUUUGCCUCUUUUGUACUCAUGAAGACUUAGAAUUUGAAAAUAUUUAUUAGUUAUCUGCUUAACACUAACACCAAGUUGAUCAGGUUGACUCUUGAGUUUAUUGAUGCCUUUUCCAGCCAGAAGAGAUGGAAGAGCCUCAGUCUCAUACCCUGUGUAGACACUAACUUCCCAUCUGCAUUUGAAAACAGCUCAUUUGGUUUGUAUUGAUUUGAUCAACACUAUCUACGCAUGUCCCAUGACAAUUGUUUGUUAUUUGUUAAGGCAAAGUAUCCCUCUUAUGGGCAUGUGUUUCUGUUAGAAUGUGCUCUCUUAGGUUGCUAAAUAAAGUCCACAGGGUACCCCUCCCCUUUUAGUUUGGUGUAUUGGUCCUAUGCCUGUGCUGCAGAGAGGCCCUUAGAAGAUUCCUGGUCCCUCUGUCUCAUGGCCGCCCUUCAGGUAAUUGAGAACAGUUACUCUCUUUCACAGGCAGUUCCUCCAACUGCCCUUCAUAUAUCAUGACUUCAGAUCCAUUUCAACCUGACUGAAUGUUAAACAGGCAGAACCCUUGAUGUCAAGGGACUGUCUUCAUCCUACAUGUAGAGAGGUGUGUGGACACUUAAGUGAUAAGUUUUCUCAAAAAUAUAUUCAAGAUAUAUGUUUAUUCUACUAUUGUAAAUUUCAAUAAAUAAACAAAUAAACAAGUGAAU